rnacentral:rRNA from 1 species
UACGUAGGGUGCAAGCGUUGUCCGGAAUUAUUGGGCGUAAAGAGCUCGUAGGCGGUUUGUCGCGUCUGCUGUGAAAACCCGAGGCUCAACCUCGGGCCUGCAGUGGGUACGGGCAGACUAGAGUGCGGUAGGGGAGAUUGGAAUUCCUGGUGUAGCGGUGAAAUGCGCAGAUAUCAGGAGGAACACCGGUGGCGAAGGCGGGACUCUGGGCCGAUACUGACGCUGAGGAGCGAAAGCGUGGGGAGCAAACAGG